GACGAACGCUGGCGGCGUGCUUAACACAUGCAAGUCGAGCGGAAAGGCUCCUUCGGGGGUACUCGAGCGGUGAACGGGUGAGUAACACGUGAGUAAUCUGCCCUGUGCUCUGGGAUAGCCACCGGAAACGGUGAUUAAUACCGGAUACAACCACUAUCCGCAUGGGUUGGUGGUGGAAAGUUUUUUCGGCACAGGAUGGGCUCGCGGCCUAUCAGCUUGUUGGUGAGGUAAUGGCUCACCAAGGCUUUGACGGGUAGCCGGCCUGAGAGGGUGACCGGUCACACUGGGACUGAGACACGGCCCAGACUCCUACGGGAGGCAGCAGUGGGGAAUAUUGGACAAUGGGCGGAAGCCUGAUCCAGCAACGCCGCGUGAGGGAUGACGGCCUUCGGGUUGUAAACCUCUUUCAGUACCGACGAAGCGCAAGUGACGGUAGGUACAGAAGAAGGACCGGCCAACUACGUGCCAGCCGCCGCCGUAACAC
rnacentral:rRNA from 1 species